GUUAGUGAUGUACACUCAAUAGCCUCAGGGUCUGGACUCCACAUCAGUGUACCCUCACAUGUCACUAUAUAUACACUGUUAAAAAUGGGUAGUUACAAUAGCACCCAAAGUGCUAUGCCAACACUCACCUAAUGGUGCUAUCACAACACUAAGAGUGCAGUCGUAACUGCUACGUGUUACUAGAACAAUAAAGGGUGCUAUUAUACACUUAAAAGUGCUUGUGGAACAUUUUAAACAGUGUUGUGCAUGCACUUACCUAGUUGUUAAAAUCAUAUUACUCUAACUAUACACCAGAUGGUGUUACUCAAAUAAGAAUUGUGUGAUUGUAGCACUAUACAUGGUGCAAUGUAAGCACCUCUACAAAUCACCUGCAUGCAAAUCAAGGGGUGAAGCAGCACACUUGUACUGAUGACGGAACAAUCGGCCCUGUGAGGAACUUUCCAAGAAAAAAUUAGUGCACUUUUCAAGUGUACCGGCAAUAUUUUAGCUAUUCAGUAUUUAUAACUUAUGUGAUGAACCAGUACUAGUUAUCAUUAUUAGUUACUGUAACUAUGUGUUUGAAGUUGCAACAUCUAUUGAGGACUAGACUAUGUGCAUGUCACGCUAACGGACAAAUUAAUGCCCAACAAUAAUUAUUAACAAUUCAA